rnacentral:rRNA from 1 species
AUGGCCACCCGCCGGGCCAUCUCGUCGGUCCUCCGCACCGCCUCCCGCAUCCGCGCCGCCUCCCCUUCCCCGUGCCCCCGCGCGCCGCUCCACCGCCCGUCCCCGGCCGGCUUCCUGCUCAACCGCGCCGCCGCCUCCUACUCGUCAUCCGCCGCGGCGCAGGCCGCUCCGGUCACGCCGCCCCCCACCUCCGACAAGCACACAGGCACUAAGAUUACCGAUGACUUCACCGGCGCCGGUGCGGUGGGUGAGGUGUGCCAGGUCAUUGGUGCCGUGGUGGACGUGCGGUUUGACGAGGGUCUCCCCCCGAUCCUGACGGCGCUGGAGGUGCUCGACAACAGCAUCCGCCUUGUGCUCGAGGUGGCGCAGCAUCUCGGGGAGAACGUCGUCCGCACCAUCGCCAUGGACGGGACGGAAGGGCUCGUCCGCGGCCAGCGCGUCCUCAACACCGGCUCCCCGAUCACUGUUCCUGUUGGUAGGGCGACUCUUGGGCGUAUUAUCAAUGUUAUUGGUGAGCCAAUUGAUCACAAGGGAGAUAUAAAAACAAACAGUUACCUGCCUAUCCAUCGUGAAGCCCCUGCUUUCGUUGAGCAAGCUACCGAGCAACAAAUCCUUGUUACUGGAAUUAAGGUUGUGGAUCUACUUGCACCCUAUCAAAGAGGUGGUAAAAUUGGUCUCUUCGGUGGUGCAGGGGUGGGCAAAACUGUCCUUAUUAUGGAGUUGAUUAACAACGUUGCCAAGGCCCAUGGUGGUUUCUCUGUCUUUGCUGGUGUUGGAGAACGUACGCGUGAGGGUAAUGACUUGUACAGGGAAAUGAUUGAGAGUGGUGUCAUUAAGCUUGACGACAAGCAGAGUGAGAGCAAGUGUGCUCUUGUGUACGGGCAAAUGAAUGAGCCCCCUGGUGCUCGUGCUCGUGUUGGACUGACUGGUUUGACUGUCGCUGAGCAUUUCCGUGAUGCCGAAGGACAGGAUGUGCUUCUCUUCAUUGAUAACAUUUUCCGUUUCACUCAGGCAAACUCUGAGGUGUCUGCUCUGCUUGGACGUAUUCCAUCUGCUGUGGGAUACCAACCAACCCUUGCUACCGACCUGGGAGGGCUGCAGGAGCGGAUUACCACCACAAAGAAGGGUUCUAUUACAUCCGUGCAAGCUAUUUAUGUGCCUGCUGAUGACUUGACAGAUCCGGCCCCUGCUACCACUUUUGCCCAUCUUGAUGCUACCACCGUGCUGUCACGACAGAUUUCCGAGCUCGGUAUUUAUCCUGCUGUCGAUCCUUUGGACUCCACAUCCAGAAUGUUGUCUCCUCAUGUUCUUGGCGAGGCUCACUACAACACUGCUCGUGGUGUUCAGAAGGUUCUUCAGAAUUACAAGAAUCUUCAAGAUAUUAUUGCCAUUUUGGGAAUGGAUGAGCUCAGUGAGGACGACAAGUUAACAGUCGCCCGCGCUAGGAAAAUUCAGCGGUUCCUUAGCCAACCUUUCCAUGUUGCUGAAGUUUUCACAGGAGCACCUGGAAAGUAUGUUGAGCUUAAGGAGGGUGUUCAAAGGUCACAGGGUGUUCUGGAUGGGAAAUACGAUGACCUUUCAGAGCAGGCAUUCUACAUGGUUGGAGGAAUAGAGGAGGUCAUUGCCAAGGCAGAGAAGAUUGCCAAGGAGAACGCUUGA